rnacentral:rRNA from 1 species
GUUGUAGCAAUACAGUGGAAAGUCUAGUGGCGAACGGGUGCGUAACACGUGGGCAAUUUGCCUUAAAGUGUGGGAUAGCUCGGCGAAAGCCGGAUUAAUACCGCAUGUGGCUACUGGAGACAUCUUCGGGACGCUAAAGGUGGCGCAAGCUACCGCUUUUUGAGAAGCCCGCGGCCUAUCAGCUUGUUGGUGAGGUAACGGCUCACCAAGGCGUUGACGGGUAGCUGGUCUGAGAGGACGACCAGUCACACUGGGACUGAGACACGGCCCAGACACCUACGGGUGGCAGCAGUCGAGAAUUUUUGACAAUGGGGGAAACCCUGAUCGAGCGACGCCGCGUGGAGGAUGAAGGUCUUCGGGUUGUAAACUCCUGUCAUUUGGGAACAAGUCGCGUGUAUUAACUGUACAUGCGUUGAUAGUACCAGAAGAGGAAGGGACGGCUAACUCUGUGCCAGCAGCCGCGGUAAUACAGAGGUCUCAAGCGUUGUUCGGAUUCAUUGGGCGUAAAGGGUGUGUAGGUGGCGCGCUAAGUCGGGUGUGAAAUUUCGGAGCUUAACUCCGAAACUGCAUUCGAUACUGGCGUGCUUGAGGACUGGAGAGGAGACUGGAAUUUACGGUGUAGCAGUGAAAUGCGUAGAUAUCGUAAGGAAGACCAGUGGCGAAGGCGGGUCUCUGGACAGUUCCUGACACUGAGACACGAAGGCCAGGGGAGCAAACGGGAUUAGAUACCCCGGUAGUCCUGGCAGUAAACGGUGCACGUUUGGUGCGGGAGGAUUCGACCCCUUCUGCGCCGGAGCUAACGCGUUAAACGUGCCGCCUGGAGUACGGUCGCAAGAUUAAAACUCAAAGAAAUUGACGGGGGCCCGCACAAGCGGUGGAGUAUGUGGCUCAAUUCGAUGCAACGCGAAGAACCUUACCAGGCCUUGACAUGCAUCUCUAAGUUGGUGAAAGCCAGCGAGUGUCGAAAGACACAAUUUGCACAGGUGCUGCAUGGCUGUCGUCAGCUCGUGUCGUGAGAUGUUGGGUUAAGUCCCGCAACGAGCGCAACCCCUGUGAACUGUUGCCACCGGAGCGAGAGCUCCGAGCACUCUGUUCAGACUGCCUCGUUUAAACGAGGAGGAAGGUGGGGACGACGUCAAGUCAGUAUGGCCCUUACGGCCUGGGCUGCACACGUACUACAAUGCCCAGUACAGAACGAUCCGAGACCGCGAGGUGGAGGAAAUCUAUUGAAAACUGGGCCCAGU